GAUGGAAGGCCAAUAAACACAAGAAAAGAUGUUCAACAUUGUUAGUCAUCAGAAAGAAAUGCAAAGUUAAACCCUAGAGAGAUACUACUGCAUACUCACUAGACUAGCUAACAUCAACUGCACCAAAUGUUGGGGAAGAUGAGGAGCUACUGGACCUUUCCAUAUAUUGAUGAUGGGAUAUAUACAGAGUUUUGCAAACUUUGGGACUAUAGAAGCAAAAAUAAUAUUUAAGCAACUGUUAUAUA
rnacentral:lncRNA from 1 species